AGGGAAUGUGAGAGUCCACUCACAGCCUGGCUUCCUAUGAGCUUUGCGGAAGCUUUGGGAUCUGCAACAGAAUUCUCUGCAUCCUCAGGUUAUCCUGGUCAUCCAGGGCUGCAGGAUUUGGCCCAUGGUCAGUCAAGGUGCGACAGCUGCUGCAGUCUUACAUGGUGAGUCCUGCAGCCUCUCUCGAAACUGCUCUGCCAUGUUCUGCAGGGCAGGCUCACUGGUUGAGAACCUGGCAGAAGAGAGACCCUGGAGUAGAGAAGGAAAAUGUCCUCACCAGCUACAGCCGGCAGGAGCAGGAAAGGCUGGGUUUGUUUUUAAACGUCUCUCCCUGCUCAAGCCUUUAAUCAUUGCUGUGUCUCUUCUCUGAACCCUCUGCAAUUUAUCAGGGAAAACAAACAAACAAGCAAACAAACCAAACCAGGCUCUUCUAACUGAUGUAACAAUCUGUUGCCUUGCAAGGUUUAAUAUAAAUCAGAUCAUUCCAUUCACCCAAGAGUUCAACUUUAAGGGCUUUUGGUUAACUGACCACCUAGUCACUUAACAUUAACCAGUUCAAAAAGCUGGCAGGUCAAAUUAGUCUUUCCUCCCAAAUCAAAAUGAAAAAAUAAAUCAGUGAAAGAAAAUAACCUAAAGCACCUUUGUUGCUUUUCACAACGGCCUGGGGGAACACACAAGGGAAAAUGCUUCUCUCUCCUGACACUGAGUAACAUUUCUGUCUGUCCUUGAGAUCCUGUCACAGGGACAAGGGCUGAGGAUGCAAAUGACAUGUUGAGGCUACAUUGGUUUGUACAUUCAUUCACUCCUUCAUUAGUGAUAAGGGUGCAUGAGCUUGAACUAAUCCAGCUCUGACUUUCACAUCUUAGGCUAUUUCCAAGGCUCGCAGUUACAAAAAACUUUUAUUUCUAACCUGAGCAAGUUGAAUCUGGAGUCACUGAGAUGAUAAAGAUAGAGCCUUGCUAAGAAGUGUCUGUCCAGAUGCAGUUCCCUCUGUAUUCUCCCCAGUUUAUGAACUCCUCUUCAUUAUAUGGGCCACUGAACCUAAUGAGUGUGGAUGGUCCCAGUACUUAGGCUCCAGCCCAAGUAAGAAUUUCUACACUGCAAUUAAACAGCCCCAGAGCUUGAGCCUGGACAAACCCAAAUCAGAUGGCCUGGGCCAGCUGUGAGUUUUUAAUUGUACUGUAGAUAUACCCUUGGUGUCAAAAUCCCAGCUUUCUCACCAGGGAAUCAAGCCCUAGUCCCCCAUGUGACGAUACUCACCACCUCUACUCAUGCGGCAAGAACUGACAGCUGCCCUGCAUGGGGACGUAGGGGAACAUCCUGGGCAGCUCCUUGGACCGCUGUAGCUGUCAGGAGACCCAGCUAGGCAGGAGCUGCUCUGGGUUCUAUGCAGGGGGAAAUUAACUGGUCUGCUGACUCUCAAUUGCCUGCCUACCCUGUCAAUCAGGCUGACCUGGAGCUUUGGCCUCUCCCCAUUGCCCCUGGGGACUGUCAGUCUCAGGGUCCUGAUUUCCCAUUAACCCUUCCCCUUUCUUUUGGUAUUGGAACUAGCCAACCAAAAAACCCCACUAAGUUUUAGUAAGGGGCCAACAGUCCCCUGACACAAGCCAUCCCCGUGAGGGUCACAGAUGUCCACAGAAGACAACAUAAGCUGGUUCUAUGGUGUAACGGUUAGCACUCCGGACUCUGAAUCCUGCAAUUUAAGCUCAAAUCUCAGUGGGACCUUGUGUUGGCUUGCAGCAAAGUUCAAAGUGCUCACCUUUCCUGUCUCCACUUGUGCAAGGGCAAGUCUUUUCCCUCUGUGCUUGGUGACAUGCCCAAUGGAGCCAGGUCUUUGGUCUGGAUGGCUUGACAGGAUGGCUGCAAUGGGUUGGGGCUCUAGAACUUGACACCCUUGCUAUCUUUGCCUGCAGGCCUGCAUUAUGGCCUGAUGGAUGGGAUUCUCGCUGCUUCACCUGAUGCCCAAAAGUCUGGCCCUUGUACUUGCUGCCACACUUUUCCUCUUGCCCACAUGACACUUAAAGAAAGGAGUGCCAGGGCCAGGGUUAAUAGUCAGGGCUAGGCAGGAGGGAGGAAGAGUCCCAGGCUGGAGCCCAGCACACCUCUCCUCCACUGGGCACCUAGAGCAGAGGUGGCAGAUGCUGACAGCUCCAAGGGAAGGCUUAAAAGCCACAGAGCAACCAAGGGCGGGGCAAGAGGAGGGGAGGACCAUGCCUAUGCUGGCCAUGCCAAACACCCGCUGAAGGUCACCCACAGACCAGCAUGUGGGGCAGCUGCUGAUGCUCUGUGACCAACAUCAGAAGGCAGUAUGAAAGGAGGGCCAGCCCCCCUGGUGGGGCCUCUUACCGGUCCCAUGCAAGGUGCUCACUUUUGCAGUGGGGCAGGAGAUUUUUUUCCCCAAGAGGCUUUUUCCCAGCAGGUGAGAAGCAGAGAAACACCCAGGCUCCAAAGGCGCUAUUUGGCAAGCCCCCUCAAGCACAGGGUCAGGCGCAGAUUUGGAAGAGGGAAACUGCUCCACACACUAGGCCGGGCAUCCACCCAAUUUCUUUGGUAAAUCAGGAAUGGCAAAGGCUAGACUGGAAGAUCUAGGGCUCACACCCUAGCCUUUGUGAUGCCCUACCCACAACUCCUUUCUGGGACUCUAGCUGAAGCCAGAGCAUUGGCCUGAGCGGCCAAGAAGAGGCUCCAGCCCUGAAGAAAGCAGGACUUCCAGCACAAAGGGAAAACUGCACAAGCACGGCCCCAAAGAGACUCAACCUUCAAUCAUCUGAUCUGAAGUCAGACGCCUUAUCCUUUAGGCCAUGCGGUCACAGGAGAAAAACCUUUUCAAGCACUUAGAAAAGACGGACACUGUGUUUCUCAGGUCAUCUACUGGGGGUGCAGAGAGUCUCCGGGCACAAGAAGUCGAGUUUCCAGCGAGAUGUGAGACCUAAUUCUAUGGAGCCAGGUGCAGGACUUUGGCAGGGAGGCAUCAACAUGGGGGAUUAAGGUGCAGAGGAGGAAUCCUGCUGGUAGGCAGAGGCCGUGGA